rnacentral:rRNA from 1 species
AUUGAACGCUGGCGGCAGGCCUAACACAUGCAAGUCGAACGAGUGGCGGACGGGUGAGUAGUGUCUGGGAAACUGCCUGAUGGAGGGGUAUAACUACUAGAAACUUUAUCUAAUACCGCAUACUACGAUAUGUGCCUACAUGGGAUUAUCGUGGUGGUGGGGCAAAGGCUCACCAAGGCGACGAUCCCUAGCUGGUCUGAGAGGAUGAUCAGCCACACUGGGACUGAGACACGGUCCAGACUCCUACGGGAGGCAGCAGUGGGGAAUAUUGCACAAUGGGCGCAAGCCUGAUGCAGCCAUGCCGCGUGUAUGAAGAAGGCCUUCGGGUUGUAAAGUACUUUCAGCGGGGAGGCGUUACCGGCAGAAGAAGCACCGGCUAACUCCGUGCCAGCAGCCGCGGUAAUUC